CUCGUCACUAAUUCCCACCCUGCCGGCAGACCCCCUCCCCUCCCAGUCUCGUCCCCGCCCUCGGCUGGGGGACCCGUCCCCGCUUGCCAGGCGGAACCUUAGGGCCCAGAGCUGCCCAGCGUGCUGGCCCUGAGCCCGCGGGUUAACGCUUAACCCAGCUGGGGGAGCAUUCCGUCGCCCCUAACCUUUAGCCCCGCACGCCCAAAUGAGGGUGGAGCUUGGGAGAGGGGAAGGGAGUCCCAGAGGCCCACCUUGUCCUACCGGAUCCCUCCCUCCCGCGCCCCCAGCUCCUAGACACCUGGCGUUCUAGGCUGGGCUGGGGCUGGGGGUCCUGGGCGUCCACGGUGGCGUAGGCCGAUGGGCGGGGUGGGGCUGGGGACCCUGGAGGUGCUCACCGUUCCUGGGGUAAAGGCUGCUUGCUGGUGUCGGGUGACGGGGAGCUGGGAGAGGGAAAGGGAUUAACGCUGGGGCGGGGGCAGCGUGGGAAGACGCCUCGCGGAGGGAUUGCUCUACCGGCAUCCUACCUUUCAGAAAAAAAGAAGAAAUAGGCUGAAGGUGCUGGAAUGGGCAUGUCCGCAGGGAUGGUGCACAGACAGCCACGAGCACAUGGAAAGGUGCCCAACAUCAUCUGUCCUAGGGCGGCACAGAAUAUCCCGCAGCGAGACACCAGCUCAACCCAUUAGGGUAGCUACUAUCAAGAAAGUGCAAGAGGGAAACAAGAAGCAGCAGAAGAUCCUGUAAAAGUCUGAAACAGAAGGUUCUAGUUCUGCGGAGGGAGGGCCGAAUCGGGUAGAGCCAACCAGAACAUUUUGUUACGGGCAGUUCGCUGGACACACAGAUUAGAGGUUUGCGCCAUCAUUUCCUAUAAGAUUAUUUGGCGUUUAAAAUCCACCGGAAAAGGGCGUUAUUUAAUUAAGCGUAUUGGGACGACUGGCAGCCAUCGGACUCCUAGCACCACAAUAAAAUCCUUAUGGUUCAGAAACAUAAGUGCAAAAAAACCCCACAACCACAAAAGCAUUCCGAGAAGACACAGGAGACGUUAAUAGUCUCAGGAUGAGGAAGGCUUUUCUCAGCAUGCUACAAAUGCAGAAGUCAUUAAAAAUAAAGUUUAUAAAUCUAA